rnacentral:rRNA from 1 species
CCAGCACCCCGAGUGGUCGGGACGAUAUUGGGCCUAAAGCAUCCGUAGCCGGUUUACAAGUCCUCCGUUAAAUCCAGCUGCUUAACAGGAUGGGCUACGGAGGAUACUAUAAGACUAGGAGGCAGGAGAGGCAAGCGGUACUCAGUGGUAGGGGUAAAAUCCGUUGAUCCAUUGAAGACCACCAGUGGCGAAGGCGGCUUGCCAGAAUGCGCUCGACGGUGAGGGAUGAAAGCUGGGGGGAGCAAACCGGAUUAGAUACCCGGGUAGUCCCAGCUGUAAACGAUGCAGACUCGGUGAUGGACUAGCUUUAUGCUAGUCCAGUGCCGCAGGGAAGCCGUUAAGUCUGCCGCCUGGGUAGUACGGUCGCAAGACUG